rnacentral:lncRNA from 1 species
CAGGCUUCACAACAGGCAACUGGGUAUGCCAACCAUGAGAUGUCUCUGCAACUGCCUUGCUGUGUCCUGUGACCCCCAACAAGCCGUUUCUACUUCUCUUGUCUACUUUCACCAGCUUCUGUUUCUCACUGUCCUUGUUAGCGAAAAAGAUCACUCCUGAAAAUCUUAUGGAGUAUUCAGAUCUCGAGUUUCUCAGCCCACGAUAUCCAAACAGUUCAAUGUCUCAGUCACACCUAAGUUCAAAAGCAAAGUAAGGAAUCAGGUCUCCUGUAACAAGCUGGCCUCUAUCCAUUACAGCAGAGGCUGAGCUUGAAUUCCUGAUCUUCCUGAUUCCAGCUUCCAAGGCGAGAGUUACAGGGACAGAAUCCAGACCCUUUCACAUUAGCCAAGUACUCAACCAGAGGUUGGCCUCAAACAGGGAAUGUAGCCGUCUAAAGAAGAUUACAUUGUGGAUUCUGAUCCUGUUAGGAUGUCAGGUGUAGACCAUCACGCUGGGAUCUUGAGGUACUGGGGAUCUAACCCAGGGCUUUGUGCACAAGAGACAAAUCACUCUGCCAACCUAUAUCCUCAGCACCCUUCUCUUUUUAAAUGCUUUUAUUUGUUUUUGUUGUUUGAUCUUUUGAGACACGGUCUCAGAGAGCUCCGGGUAGCCUUGAACUCACUACAUUAGCCAAAGUUGAUCUCGACCUCUUUAUUCUCCUGCCUCUGC